rnacentral:lncRNA from 1 species
CGGGGUCCGGCCCUGGCUGUGCCAGGAGGCACAAGGGCCCCUUUGUCCAGCCCACGGCCCCGCCGACACACGAUCGCUCGGCCGGCCCGCCAGCCAGGAAUCCAAUUAAAAUGGAUUUUGCCUCAUUUCCCGUCAAACGAGCUGCCCCGACCUCCGGUGAAACAAAGGGCUGAGGUUGCACCCUGCGGCGGGGGGGAACGGGGCCACGGGACGAGCCCAGCGUGGAGCUGCUGCGUAAAAUGAGUUUUGGUGAAGCUGCCUUCAAACUGAGCACCAGGGAUGUGUCCUGACCCAAUCCCAUCAGGAUUUUAAGUGAGAGCAGGCAAAAAAAGACCAAUUAUUGGCUCUACCCAGCACAACCUCAUGUGGGAUGGCGUGGACACGUCCUUGUGCACAAACGCUGCCCCAAACCAGAGGUGUCCUGCUCCCGAAAGGCUGGAUGUGGUGUUUAGGGAUGUGGUUUAGUGCCCUGAGCCUCGCAGACCUGCAGCCACCACUGCUGUAAGCCGCUCUCCCCAAUGUGCCAAGUCGCACAUCCUCAUUUUUGGGAAAACCAGCAAGCAGCCUUGUCCUCGCAUGCACGCUCCUCAUCCUUUUGCAAAUAUGAUUUUUUUUUUCCCUUUUCUUUCUUUUUUUUCUCCUCGAUUUUGCCCGGAAUCCCUGAAACAAACCCUUUAGUGUCUGCCACCCAGCCCCUUGCCCCCAUCGCAUCCUCGGCCGAGGCGAGGGACGGUGCCAAAACCCGCGGCUGCCCGGGACACGGUGGCACCAGGGGCAGCCCUCGCCAUGACACCUCGAAGGAACAGAGCUGAAAGAAUCCUUCUGAUGCCCACAUCCCCAAAAUCCCCUGUAAUAGGAUCUGCCAUGGCAGGGCAGGGGACACGGAGGUGUCCCUAUGGGGCAGCAGGAGCGCACGCACCAAGGUCACCCCAGCGACACCGGGCUGGGCACAGAAUCGCCAAAUCCAGCUUUUAGCCUCAUUUUGCAGCCUCCCUAUUGCUCCUGACGGCUCCGAUGGCCCCGAGGAGAGCGAGUGGGGUUUUUUUCUGCAUUUAAGGGACCUGUCAAAACCCCUGCUCCGUACCGGGACCUGCUCGAGAGGCUGGGAAGGGAACAACCCGGUGUCACUCGCUCUCCUCUGGGACCGAGGUCAAAAUCCUCCGCAGCCAAAAACCAGACAGAUUGCACGGACACUGCCGAGCCUGUGGGGUCGGGAGGGGUGAGACGGGACUGGGGGAAAUCGGAGCCUUGCUGAGCGGUGUGGUUUUCAUCUGCCCUAUCCGUGUGGCUCCUUUUGGCUCCUUUCUCCUCCGGUGAGGAAAGGAGCCAAAAGCCCUCACCAUGGUCCCGUGCCUCAGUUUCCCCUCCUGGCCCCUGGAACCAGAAAAAAGGGGUUUUGGGGAGUUUUGGUUUCCUAGAUUUAUUUUUUUAAAGUAAUAACUUGACCCAAGAUGAAAAGGGGAGAGUUUGGAGAAAAUAUUAAAUGACUUAAUAAGGACUUCAAAAUGACUGACUCGAUGUCCCUCUCCCCCCCGGGGCGGUACCGACCCCUCCUGCAGGGUGGACGGCCCCGGUUAGCCGAAUCUGGGGGUUAUUAUUUAGGGAAUGAGCAGCACAGCCACUGGUGUGUAAUUAAAGCUACCAGUUCAGGCAUUUCUCGUGGGUCGGGGGCAAAUUUCCUUCUGCCCUGACGGAGGGAAUCACCCAGAUGUGCAGUAACCCCUGGCAAAACCCAGC